GCCGAAGUGGCGGAAUUGGCAGACGCGCUACGUUCAGGGCGUAGUUGGGGAAUCCCAGUGGGGGUUCGACUCCCCCCUUCGGCACCA
rnacentral:tRNA from 1 species